ACAACAGGGCGGCCAUCUUUGAAAGGGAUCACGUGACCCCGUCAGACAGGCGGGGUUUCUGGCCCCAGGACGAGGCAGCCAAUGGGCCGCGGGCGUCGCGCGGCCGAUUUCCUCUCUCCUGAGUCUCCUCCCGCCUCCGCCCCACCCUCUCCCCGGCCGCCGCGCGGGGCGGGGGGAGGGGCGAGCGGGGCCGCCGGCGGACCGGCCGAGCGCGGGGGGCGGGGCGGAGAGUUGCCAUGGCGACGGCACGGGAGCGGUGCGCGGGCCCGGCCCAGGCUUUUCUCUUUAGCGGCUCACAAACGCCUCUCGACUGUCCACGAUGCCGCCCAAACGAACUAAAAGAAACGGAAAACGUCUCCUUUCUGCGAUGAGCGUUCUCUACCAGCCUGACCGCUCACAUUCUGCAAAACCUUUCUACGUAGACUCUUCCUCCUCCGCAAGGAAAGCCCAUUUGGAAGAAAACUUUAACACAAGCAGAACUUCAUUUCAUUUCACUUUGUUCUUUUAGAGAGAUAAUUUCUGAUUUUUUUUUAAGUGUGUUCCAAAUUUGAAAGUAUAAAUGGGUUUGAGACCCAGAAAACUUUGAAGUGCAUACACAAACACAAGGGAGACUUGUGGAGCCAAGGAAAAGAAACCAUCGUCCUCACCUGGACAAGAAUACAAAAAAAAUUUUAAUUGAAAUGUGUGUGAUCAAAACAUCAUAUUAGUUUUAACGUGUACAGCAUAAUGAUUUGACAUACGUAUAUAUUGGGAAAUGAUUACCACAAUAUGUUAACACCCAUCACCAUACAUACUUGUUUUUUUGUUUUUUGUUUUUCUUGGAAUGAGCACUUUAAAGAGUUAUUCGCUUAGCAACUUUAAAAUAUAUGAUACAGUAUUGUUGACUAUAGUCCCAAUGCUGUACAUGACACCCACAGGACUUCUUAUAACUGAGUUUGUACCUUUUGACCACCUUCACCAUUUUGCCCACGCACUAUCCCCCUCUGGCAACCACAAAUCUGUUCUCUGAAGAAUGCAAAUAUUUUAUAAUAUACAAGUCUAAACAGUGGUCAAUGUUUAACAGUGUCAUGAAAUUCCAGAUUUUGCCACCUACGAAGAAUGUAAUGUAUGGGAUGGUUUACUUAACCAUAAUAUUACAGAUUGCAUUCCAGAAUUAAAAGUCACAAUUUUUUUUUCCUGCUACUUACUUAAAAUAGUAACCUGACAACCAGAUAUGUAAGGAAUUUGUAAGUAAAAUUAGACCACUGCUGGCUUUACAUAUUAUCUGCUCUCCAGGAAAGGAAUUCUGUGUAAGCCAGAAUUUAGACGCCUGUUGACAUUGAUAUCAGUACAUUUACUUCUUUUUUUAAACGUGGUCAUUGCCAUGUAAUUCGUAUUCCAUACAAUUCACCCAUUUAAAGUGUACGAUGGUUGUAGAAUAUUCACAGUUAUCAACCAUCAUCACUAAUUCCAGAACAUUUCAUCACCCCAGAAAGAAACCCUGUACCUGUUAACAGUCACUCCCCAUUCUCCCCUCCCCUCCCCUCCCUCUGGGCAACCACUAAUCUACUUUCUGUCUCUACCAGUGGAAUCCUACUCUAUGUGGCUUUUUGUGUCCAGCUGCUUUUAUUUAGCAUAUGUUUUCAAAGUUUAUCCAUGCUGCAGUAUGUAUCAGUACUUCAUUUCUUUAAUGCCGAACAAUAUUCCAUUGUAUGGAUAUACCACAUUUUGUUUAUUCAUUCAUCAGCUAAUGGACAUUUGGGUUGUUUCCACUAUUUGGUUAUUAUGAAUAAUGCUGCUAUCAAUAUUUAUGUGUAAGUUUUUGUGUGGACAUUUGUUUUAAUUUCUCUUGGAUAUAUACCUAGGAGGAGAAUUUCUGGGUUUUAUGUUUAACUUUUCAAGCAACUGAAAAACUGUUUUCCAAAGUGCCACACCAUUGUACAUUCCACCAGCAACAUAUGAGGGUUCCAAUUUCUCCAAUCCUCACCAACACUUGUUAGUAUCUCUUUUUUAGAAUAGUCACACUAGUAGAUGUGAAGUGGUAUCUCAUUGCAGCUUUGUGUUUUCAUUCCUCUGAGGGCUAACAAUAUUGAGCAUCUUUUCAUGUAUUUAUUAGUUAUUUGUAUAUCUUUGGACAAAUAUCUGUCCAAAUCCUUUGUUCAUUUUUUAAUUGGUUAUUUGUCUUUUUAUUUUUGAGUUGUAAGAGUUCUUUAUAUACUCUGGAUAUUAGUCCCUUAACAAACAUGUAAUUUAUAAAUAUCUUUCCCAUUCUGUGGGUUGUCAUUUCACUUUCUUGAUAGUAUCAUUUGCAGCACAAAUUUUUUUAUUUUGAUGUAGUCCAAUUUCUUUCUUUUGUCAUUUGUGCUUUUGAUGUAAUACAUUCACUUUUACAAGGCA